CACGUAGGGGGCAAGCGUUGUCCGGAUUUAUUGGGCGUAAAGAGCUCGUAGGUGGUUCGGUAAGUCCGGUGUGAAACCUCCAGGCUCAACCUGGAGACGCCACUUGAUACUGCUGUGACUGGAGUCCGGUAGGGGAGCGUGGAAUUCCUGGUGUAGCGGUGAAAUGCGCAGAUAUCAGGAGGAACACCGGUGGCGAAGGCGGGUCUCUGGGCCGAUACUGACGCUGAGGAGCGAAAGCGUGGGGAGCGAACAGG
rnacentral:rRNA from 1 species